rnacentral:rRNA from 1 species
GAUGAACGCUAGCGGCAGGCCUAACACAUGCAAGUCGAGGGAGAAGCCCUUUCGGGGGCAGAAACCGGCGCACGGGUGCGUAACGCGUAUGCAACCUACCUUUCACAGGGGGAUAGCCCGAAGAAAUUUGGAUUAAUACCCCAUAAUAUUAUUGGAUGGCAUCAUUUGAUAAUUAAAACUGCGGUGGUGAAAGAUGGGCAUGCGUCCUAUUAGCUAGUUGGAGUGGUAACGGCACCCCAAGGCUACGAUAGGUAGGGGUCCUGAGAGGGAGAUCCCCCACACUGGUACUGAGACAGGGACCAGACUCCUACGGGAGGCAGCAGUGAGGAAUAUUGGGCAAUGGUCGGAAGACUGAACCAGCCAUGCCGCGUGCAGGAAGAAUGCCUUAUGGGUUGUAAACUGCUUUUAUAUGGGAAGAAUAAGGCGUACGUGUACGUUGAUGACGGUACCAUAGGAAUAAGCAUCGGCUAACUCCGU